ACGGACGGACGGACGGACGGACGGACGGACGGACGGACAAUUACCUAUACGCUUCUUACGUAUUUAUGAAGUGGAUUACUUUUCGGAGGCUGACUGUGCUUGCACGAGAAAUUACAAAGUACAGUUAAAUAACAGCCACUGAAGAAGCCAUUGUGUCCUCAGCGUACAUGACCAGAUCGGG